ACAUCAUGACUCCUGCUUUCUCAACUCAGGAGAUUUGCAUAAGGACAGGAAACCAGAGUCUCUUCAGUCAGAUGGACCUGCUAGAGGCUUGGGAUCAGAAAUGAGCAAUGCCAGCUCAGGUGGUGGAGAAGCUGUCUUUUGCCAGUGACUGUGGCAGAAGGAAAGAAGAAAGUCAACAAGGACUCUCAUGCUGCCAACAGUGCUACUGUUGCCCAGAGUGGCAGGGGUACUUGGAGUGCUUCAUCUAAAGGAUGUCAGCCAAAGGAUGUGACUGUUUGCAUAAGCAACAAGGAAGUAGACUACAUGAUCCAGGGAGAGAACCAUAGUGCUCCUGGGAGCAGCAG
rnacentral:lncRNA from 1 species